rnacentral:rRNA from 1 species
CGAACGGUGAGAGGAGCUUGCUCCUUGGAUCAGUGGCGAACGGGUGAGUAACACGUGAGCAAUCUGCCCUUGACUCUGGGAUAACUGCGGGAAACUGUAGCUAAUACCGGAUAUUACCUUGGAAGGCAUCUUCUGGGGUGGAAAGAAUUUUGGUCAAGGAUGAGCUCGCGGCCUAUCAGCUAGUUGGUGAGGUAAUGGCUCACCAAGGCGACGACGGGUAGCCGGCCUGAGAGGGUGACCGGCCACACUGGGACUGAGACACGGCCCAGACUCCUACGGGAGGCAGCAGUGGGGAAUAUUGCACAAUGGGCGCAAGCCUGAUGCAGCAACGCCGCGUGAGGGACGACGGCCUUCGGGUUGUAAACCUCUUUUAGUAGGGAAGAAGCGACUGGGUUUUCCUGGGAGUGACGGUACCUGCAGAAAAAGCACCGGCUAACUACGUGCCAGCAGCCGCGGUAAUACGUAGGGUGCAAGCGUUGUCCGGAAUUAUUGGGCGUAAAGAGCUCGUAGGCGGUUUGUCGCGUCUGCUGUGAAAACCCGAGGCUCAACCUCGGGCCUGCAGUGGGUACGGGCAGACUAGAGUGCGGUAGGGGAGAUUGGAAUUCCUGGUGUAGCGGUGGAAUGCGCAGAUAUCAGGAGGAACACCAAUGGCGAAGGCAGAUCUCUGGGCCGUAACUGACGCUGAGGAGC